CUCAAGCUUCCCAUCCGAGCGAGAGGAGCAGCGGCGGAGAGAAGCCUGAGCCCUGAGCUCGAUACCGUGUGUGAUCGGCCGUCGCGCCCUCCUUCGUCGGGGCGUGGAGCACCUCCAGGGCAGAUGCGAAUAAUUUCAAUGAAAAAUCCACCAUCAAAGACAUGAUAUGCUUCGGGACAGACACAAAAAAGCUCAAUGAAAAUUCCACCAUCACAAGAACUGACCUUGAAUUGUCUGAAAUCAAAAUGAAGAAGGAACUGGAGAUUAUUCGAAUGACUAUGGAGAAUAGAAUCGAUUCGGUCAUGAUCAGAAUGAAGUUUGACCUGAAAAAAGAUAUUGGUGAUAUUGAUGUGAAGUACUACAAGGAUACUUGCAAUUUGAAGAACGAGCUUUCUCUGAUCAGAAAAGACUUUCAAGUACAUGAAUUGGAGACUAAAUAAGAAAAAGAAUGAUUAUUUAUCUGCGCAGUUAUGUUUGGAUCGUUCAUUGUAAACAAUUCUGAUGCUGUAUAUUACUUGGGAACCCCUUUUUUUUCAAGCUGGCCAUAAGCAAAACUAUCACAGAUCGGCUCAAAAUGUACCAAAUGAGUGGUUGGGAUCAUCACUGAUGUCGUUGCAAAGGUAGCAACCUGGAAGAAACAAGGAUAGAUUCAUGAGAAGUCUUCGAAACUUUCAGCACUCGUUAAAGUGAUAGUGAACUUCUAUGUGUUUGGUACUUGCAUGAAAGACAAGAUUUUCUACCAAACGAAUGGAAGAUAGAUUGUCACAGAAAAUCCUUACUUGGUAUUCUGUUGGCUGGUGAAGAUCCUCCAUCAACUGCUUGAGCCAGGCUACAAGAGUCCAAUGCUCCCAUGCAGCUAAAACAAUCUGGCCAGUGAAGCGGACUCUUUCAUCCAGUUCAUUCAACAAGCACAAGAUUUCAUCGAAAGCUGAGAUGCCACUUCGGCGAAUUAGUGUAUUAGAGUCAGUAAUAUUCAGUUGUGCUCUCUUGAUAGAGAUUUUGGAUGAAUUUAUCUAUUGAGUUGAACCAUGAUUGCUUUCACAUGUGAAUGUUGCUUCAUUUUUUAAAUACACUUAAGUGAUCGUUAAAAUUGCCCAAUGUGUAUUUCUUUCAGUGGUUGUAGUUUAGGUUUAUCUUGUUGAGCGUCAUCUGUCAGACUACCCCAACUUGCUUGAGAAUUUAAGUCAGGUCAACGUGGAAAUAUUAAACAUCUUUAUUACACAUUCUAUUAUUCUCCAAUUGAACUUUAGUAUUAGGUACUAUCUCAUCAAGUUUAACAUCAUACACAUCUUGUGAAGAAAUCAAAGUUAUUGGCACCUGAUGAGAAAACAUUGAACAUCACCAUGUUACUGUUAAAAAUGUCACUUUUGAAAAGAAAAACAUGAUGCCUAUGUUUUCCGGUUUCAUUAAUGAAAACAUAAGCCCAUUAUUUUGCCUUUUAAACUGGGUAACUUAGCCAAAACUUAUGUAGUUUUUUUAAAAUGGUUUAGUAAAAAUUCUAAUCAUUUCAUUUGUUCUUGUGAAAUGGUUUUUCUUUUUUUGCAUUCCUUUGUUCCCUUGUAUUGUGUUUUGAACCGGCAAUCGAAUAAAAUAAUAUGCUGACGACUAUUCUAGGUUUCUUUAUUUCAUCCAUUCUUUUACUGAUCUUCAGGCAUGCUGCUGUUUUGAAGAAAUCAUCGAACACUAUGAUGGGGUUAGCUACUUUUAUUGGCCUUGGAUGGAUCUAUAUAGCAAGCAAUAUGUAUCCAGAUGGUAGCGCAAGUUGCUGUAACUGCCAUUGCCAUGGUUCAAAACCUGAGGUGCAACAAAAUUAGGAGCUGCAAAUACUAUGGGGCGGCCAUUAUUUGUUUUGUGAGAGGGAGUCUAACCUGCUGUACUCCUAGAAGACACCUGCACUGUCUUCCAGAUGCAUGCUUGUAAUAAUAUUUAUUGGGAAAUUUUAUGCUCGUUCCGACCUGGAGCUCGUACAUUUGAUUGCUGCACUAGCUAGGGAGUCGGACAAGAACAUGCUUGGCCUGGUCUCACCGAUGGCUCGCUAGAGGCCAGGGUGAACACAUGGAGCACCAUGCAGUACUGGUAUCUUCGUUUCUUCUAUCUGCUAUAUACUCACAUCAAUUUACUUUUUA